rnacentral:rRNA from 1 species
CCUACGGGGGGCAGCAGUAGGGAAUCUUCCACAAUGGGCGAAAGCCUGAUGGAGCAACGCCGCGUGGGUGAAGAAGGUCUUCGGAUCGUAAAACCCUGUUGUUAGAGAAGAAAGUGCGUGAGGGUAACUGUUAACGUUUCGACGGUAUCUAAACAGAAAGCAACGGCUAACUACGUGCCAGCAGCCGCGGUAAUACGUAGGGGGCAAGCGUUAUACGGAUUUAUUGGGCGUAAAGGGAAAGAAGGCGGUCUUUUAAGUCUGAUGUGAAAGCCUUGGGCUUAACCGGAGUAGUGCAUUGGAAACUGGGAGACUGGAGUGCAGAAGAGGAUAGUGGAACUCCAUGUGUAGCGGUGAAAUGCGUAGAUAUAUGGAAGAACACCAGUGGCGAAAGCGGCUAUCUGGUCUGUAACUGACGCUGAGGUUCGAAAGCGUGGGUAGCAAACAGGAUUAGAUACCCCUGUAGUC